UUCCUACGGGACGCAGCAGUGGGGAAUAUUGCACAAUGGGGGAAACCCUGAUGCAGCGACGCCGCGUGAGCGAUGAAGUAUUUCGGUAUGUAAAGCUCUAUCAGCAGGGAAGAGAAUGACGGUACCUGACUAAGAAGCCCCGGCUAACUACGUGCCAGCAGCCGCGGUAAUACGUAGGGGGCAAGCGUUAUCCGGAUUUACUGGGUGUAAAGGGAGCGUAGACGGCGGUGCAAGCCAGAUGUGAAAUCCCGCGGCUCAACCGCGGAACUGCAUUUGAAACUGUUUUUCUUGAGUACCGGAGAGGU
rnacentral:rRNA from 1 species